GCCAAAUCAGUCUCCUACAGGACCUGAGAUCCAGGAAUAUUGGGAACAGUGGUGCUGAAAAAUCCUAGCAACUGUUAUCUGUAUUCCCAUAAAGACGGACCUAUAAUCCACCUGCUACUACAUUCUAGAGCCACUCUGAAGUAAAAGGAGAAAAUGUGUUGCUGUAACAAAACCGUAAAAAGCUGUGUGAGAUGGAAUCUGGAGUAUCUAAAGGUACUCUGGCAGCCAUGAACUCUGACUUCUGAGCUCCUCAGCG
rnacentral:lncRNA from 1 species